GCUACUCUCCCUGCGGCCCACACUCCUUGGACCUCAUGAUGGCUUUUUCUACUUCCACCAUCGCUGCUCUGAUGCUGACCCUGCAAGGUUUGGAAGCGGCUCUCGUUUUAACCCAGGAGAAGACCCUCUCUGUGAACAGAGGAGACAAUGUCAAAAUAUCCUGCACUGAAACUGACAGCAGCAGCAACUAUGUGUUGUCCUGGUACCAGCAGAAGAGUGGUUCACCGCCAAAGUAUUUACUUUACACAACUGGCGAUCGUGCAAGUGGCGUUCCCAGUAGGUUUACUACUUCUGGUACAAGAGGUGACAAAACAGAGUAUCUACUGAUUAAUGGCAUUCAAGAUGAAGACGAGGCGACAUACUACUGUGCGUGUGACGACUGUAGUGCAGACCACAGUGCUACAGUGCAGCCUGGCGCCCGUACAAAAACCUACCAAAGACAUUUGGGAUGCGUCCUCCUGCUGCCCUCCACAAGGUGGCGCUCAGGACACACCUUCACCUGACAUGUGAGCCACUCUGCUCUCAGCAGCCCGCUGAGCAAGAGUGUGAGCAGCCAGCAGUGCUCCCUCUGACAGAGGACGAGAAGAUACAGGGAGCGCUACAUGAGGACGACAUGGGGAGAAAUAGUA